rnacentral:rRNA from 1 species
UUACGGCCACAUCACAUUGCAACACCAGUUCCCGUACGAUCACUGAAGUUAAGCAACGUCGAACCUGGUCAGUAACUAAAUGGGUGACCGAUUGAGAAUACCAAUUG